rnacentral:rRNA from 1 species
GCGCGCGAAACUGCGAUGAGGGACUCCAAGUGCCAGUACAUUGUGCUGGCUGUUCGCUUGCCUAAAAAGCUUGCGGAGUAAGGGGUGGGUAAGACUGGUGCCAGCCGCCGCGGUAAUACCAGCAGCCCAAGUGGUGAUCGCUAUUAUUGGGCCUAAAGCGUCCGUAGCCGGACUGGUAAACCCUUGGGUAAAUCGUCCAGCUCAACUGAACGACUUCCGAGGAGACUGCCAGUCUUGGGACCGGGAGAGGUCGGAGGUACUCCAGGGGUAGGGGUGAAAUCCUGUAAUCCUUGGGGGACCACCGGUGGCGAAGGCGUCCGACUAGAACGGGUCCGACGGUAAGGGACGAAGCCCUGGGUCGCAAACCGGAUUAGAUACCCGGGUAGUCCAGGGUGUAAACGCUGCGGGCUUGGUGUUGCGGGUCCUACGAGGGCGCGCAGUGCCGGAGAGAAGUUGUUAAGCCCGCCGCCUGGGGAGUACGCGCGCGAAAGCGCGCGAAAGCGCGCGAAAGCGCGCGAAACA